GGUCAGACCACAACCCAGUUGUGCUGAAACUAAAAGAAGAGCAGAAAAGAGGGCAAAAUAAUUAGAGGAUAAACGAUUGCCUGUUAAAUGAAGAGGAAUAUCAAUAACAACUGAAAAAAGCAACAGAUAAUUUCUUCAAGGAAAAUACGGACAGAGACGUUUCAGCCCACAUGACAUGGUACGCAUACAAAUGUGUAAUCAGAA